AUUGAACGCUGGCGGCAUGCCUUACACAUGCAAGUCGAACGGUAACAGGUUAAGCUGACGAGUGGCGAACGGGUGAGUAAUGUAUCGGAACGUGCCCAGUCGUGGGGGAUAACUGCUCGAAAGAGCAGCUAAUACCGCAUACGACCUGAGGGUGAAAGCGGGGGAUCGCAAUACCUCGCGCGAUUGGAGCGGCCGAUAUCAGAUUAGGUAGUUGGUGAGGUAAAGGCUCACCAAGCCGACGAUCUGUAGCUGGUCUGAGAGGACGACCAGCCACACUGGGACUGAGACACGGCCCAGACUCCUACGGGAGGCAGCAGUGGGGAAUUUUGGACAAUGGGCGCAAGCCUGAUCCAGCCAUGCCGCGUGCGGGAAGAAGGCCUUCGGGUUGUAAACCGCUUUUGUCAGGGAAGAAAAGGUUCUGGCUAAUACCUGGGACUCAUGACGGUACCUGAAGAAUAAGCACCGGCUAACUACGUG
rnacentral:rRNA from 1 species